ensembl:snRNA U6 U6 spliceosomal RNA
GUGCUCGCUUCGGCAGCACAUAUACUAAAAUUGGAACGAUACAGAGAAGAUUAGCAUCACAAACUGCAGAAGGCACUAGUUAAGCUGCUAUUUGCUGCAUUCAUUU